rnacentral:rRNA from 1 species
CGAUGCGCACAAGUAGAGUGAUCGAAAGAUGAAAAGCACUUUGGAAAGAGAGUUAAAAAGCACGUGAAAUUGUUGAAAGGGAAGGGAUUGCAACCAGACUUGCUCGCGGUGUUCCGCCGGUCUUCUGACCGGUUCACUCGCCGCGUUGCAGGCCAGCAUCGUCUGGUGCCGCUGGAUAAGACUGGAGGAAUGUAGCUUCG